UUCACUGAAAGUUUUAUUAUCCUCGUGGA
rnacentral:piRNA from 1 species